AAUUUCUGGUUCAAUCCUGCAGUGAUUUUUCGGUGUACACUUCCGGUGAUGUGUUGGAAUUUAUUUGCUUCUUUUCUUCUGUUUCCUGGUCUGCUUCGUUAUGGCCUGGGUGGAUGUAGCAAUUCGUCUCUGGCCCAAUGAAUUUCACAGCGUGUGUAAUUGGGCUUCCUUCAGCGGCUGGUCAAAGCCGUGCUGAGAAUCCCCACUACCGAACGAUUUGAGCGGUCGCCCCACCUCUCCUUCUCUGUCCCAUCCGCUCUCCUCUCCAUUGCCGCCGACCCCGUUCUGCCCGCGGCGCCGAUGCCCGUGCUAGCCCAGAUGGUGCUCCCGUGCGUUUCCCUACGGAUUUAAGUGGGGUGGACGUGCGCCUGCUCGCCAGCUGAGCGGUCGGAUUGGAGGGGUGGAGAGCUCGAGCGGCGCUACGGGCUCUCUUCGUCAUUCACCGGCGGGCAUAUAGCGGUGCUCCAGAUUCCCUCUCCAUAGGACGGGGCUUGCUCCUCUCUCUGGUUGCCGUGGUGCCUACCGAGCCAAUUAUGACAUGGCACGCCCUGGCUUGCCGUUCUGAGGAGGAACUCGGCACCCUAAUCCCCUUCACCGGCGGCUGGCGGCGCGGUGGAGCCGCUCGGCCCCCUCCUCUCCGUCCGCGGCAAUUGUGCACAUGUGUGCUAGAGGGCUUCAUCGGGCUGCACGACGGUGUCAGACGGCCGUGGUGGCCUCUGUCGUCUGUGGUGCUGACGGUGGUAGUGCUGGGCGAGCGCCAACGGCGGAAGGAUGCAUAGUUGGCCGGCGCGGCCGAGACCGACAUAUGACGACCAUGGGCGAACGGUGGAGUAUAGGCCGUGGGGAGCACGACGAGGGGUCGAGUCUACGCCGUGGAGGACCACGAUGACGACGACUAUAUCCACGCGACUCUUACUGCUGUGUAGUAUGCUUCAGUUGAAUAGAUCAAAACGAGGGGCUGGUCAUGCGUUUCAGAAGAACAAGGAUCAAGAACAGGAUGCAGAUUGUGCUCCUGGAAAGCCACCUCAAUGAUCGAUGUACUGGAGGAAGCAUUGGGUUCUUAUCCUGCUCGAGAGACUCCCGAACGAGAGCCACUCAUCAAGGAAACUAUUUUCAGCAAGCUCCUACAUUGCUAUCUUCACGUGGUGCUGCUGUGUUUACUCGCGCGUGCUGUGUGGCCGCUGCUCUCUCUUUUGUGUGUGUGUGCUGCAGCAUAUAGCUGCACAUGGUGCUCCCUCCCUCUAGCACAUGUGUUGUUGUUUUGUUCCUCUCUCACACAUAUGGCUGGUGUUGCUGUUCCUCUCUCUCUGAUCUAGAGAAAUUUGUGCAUGCAAAAUUGUUUGAUCAUGUCUAUGAAGCCUAAAAAGUUCAUUUGGGCCUUCUAUUGCAGUUUAUCAAUAGUGAUCUUGUGUAUGUUUUGCUUAGUUCUCGGAUUUAUAAAUGAUGUUUGUUCCUAUCUUUCUCCAUUUAUAUGACACGAACUCUUAAAAAAAUAUUGGUCUUCUCAGUUGAUUAUUGCUAGGAAGGGUUUGAAGAAAAACAAUGGACAUGUAAUGGUUAGGUCUUUUAAAGCGCAUGCUAUACUUUUGUGUUGUUUAAAAAAAAUGAUAAUUAGAAACCAUAGAUGAUUGACUUUACCUUCUAUUUAUUACAAUACUUGCAGCUGCUGUUUGGGGCUUUGGGGACUUGGUGGAGAUAGCUAACCGCCUUGCCCUGGAUGGAUGGAUGCUUGGAUUUCGAUAGCUGGAGAUUAAAUAUUUUCUUAUCUACUCUAAUGUUCAGGUAAAAUUUAGGGUUGUGUAGUUUUUUGUUCAUGCCAGCGUUUUUCACGCCGUAGCACCUUCGACAGGGAAGUAGUUGUUUUUGGGUUCCCUGGAGAUCUUAUGUUUCUUCUGUAAAUUGAAUUAGUUUGACUGAAAUUCCACCUUUUUUUUCAUGAGAA